CACGCACGCGCAGUUCAGUCCUGUAACAUAUCUAUGGGAAGAAGCGGGAAAAGCAGAGGUCGUCUGAGGCAUUUUCUACAAAAGCUUAUUUUGAGCACAUCUCCACACUCAUCCUCAGAUGGGAGGAAGAUCUCCGGAACCACGAUCAGAAUCUUGCGUUUGUGUGGAGGGUUGAUCGUCCAGACGCACUCUACAUUGGCCGGGUAGUUUCCUGGAUAGUUGGGGGACUCGAUGUACCCGAUGAACUCGCCUAUUUCACCCCCACAUUCCCGAUCUGAACACACCACCAACAAACAAGACAACAUUAUGAUUUCAAAUUAGCCUGAUUAUUCGACUGAUCAGAAGUUGUGCUUAAGAAUGAAUGGACUCACUCUUGCAUUGAGACACACUGAUGGCCCCGUCGAAGUCUGUGGUGGUGUUUCCAGGACAGGAAAUACAGUAGUUCUGUCU